rnacentral:rRNA from 1 species
CAGGCCUAACACAUGCAAGUCGGACGGUAGCACAGAGGAGCUUGCUCCUUGGGUGACGAGUGGCGGACGGGUGAGUAAUGUCUGGGGAUCUGCCCGAUAGAGGGGGAUAACCACUGGAAACGGUGGCUAAUACCGCAUAACGUCGCAAGACCAAAGAGGGGGACCUUCGGGCCUCUCACUAUCGGAUGAACCCAGAUGGGAUUAGCUAGUAGGCGGGGUAAUGGCCCACCUAGGCGACGAUCCCUAGCUGGUCUGAGAGGAUGACCAGCCACACUGGAACUGAGACACGGUCCAGACUCCUACGGGAGGCAGCAGUGGGGAAUAUUGGACAAUGGGCGCAAGCCUGAUCCAGCCAUGCCGCGUGAGUGAUGACGGCCCUAGGGUUGUAAAGCUCUUUUACCUGGGAUGAUAAUGACUGUACCGGGAGAAUAAGCCCCGGCUAACUCCGUGCCAGCAGCCGCGGUAAU